GGCAGUGGCCAGAGCCCUGCAGUGCUGGGCAUGGGCUUCUCGUGGGCUCUGGCCACGGCC
ensembl:miRNA